UAGUGCAAUCGGUAGUACAACAGAUCGGUCAUCUGUAGAUGCGAGUUCAAAUCCCGC
rnacentral:tRNA from 1 species